UCCCUGAUGGCUCAGAUGGUAGAGAAUCUGCCUGCAAUGCGGGAGACCUGGAUUUGAUCCCUGGUUUGGGAA
rfam:TPA: Bos taurus chromosome 4, whole genome shotgun sequence.